rnacentral:rRNA from 1 species
CCUACGGGUGGCAGCAGUGAGGAAUAUUGGUCAAUGGGCGAGAGCCUGAACCAGCCAAGUCGCGUGAGGGAAUACUGCCCUAUGGGUUGUAAACCUCUUUUGUCGGGGAGCAAAACCCGGACGUUUCCGGCUGUUAGGAUUCCCCAAGAAAAAGCAUCGGGUAACUCCGUGCCAGCAGCCGCGGUAAUACGGAGGAUGCGAGCGUUAUCCGGAUUUAUUGGGUUUAAAGGGUGCGCAGGCGGAUGUUUAAGUCAGCGGGCAAAUCGUGGGGCUCAACCCCAUCCAGCCGUUGAAACUGGAGAUCUAGAGUGUGCGAGAGGUAUGCGGAAUGCGUGGUGUAGCGGUGAAAUGCAUAGAUAUCACGCAGAACUCCGAUUGCGAAGGCAGCAUACCGGUGCACAACUGACGCUCAGGCACGAAAGCGUGGGUAUCGAACAGGAUUAGAUACCCUAGUAGUC